rnacentral:lncRNA from 1 species
CUGGCUAUCUCUCAAAUGACCAGUGAAGUAACUUUUCUACAAAACCCUACUUGAAAGUUAUUUCUUUUUCUAAAUUGUUUCCAUAGACGAAGCCACUAGGGUAUCAUUUAGUAUGCUAAAAGUCAUGUGCUAUAUUCUAAAUAUUGCCCCAAUGAUCUGAAAGAGUUCAUAUUUGUCUCUCAAAAUGCCCCCUAUCUUUACAUGGAAAGAAGGAAAUACGAUAGCCUUUGACUUUAUCUACCUGUCCAUAACAUUAUACGUAUGGUAAGUAAUCGAUGAUCCUUUAAUAACUAAUUUUUUAAAAGAAUUAAAACCAAAUGAUUUGGCUUUAAAAAUCAUGGUAGCAUCAAUUUUUAUGUAAUAAAUGAAAACUACCUAGAUUGCUAUGCCAUGGUUUGAAUGAAUUUUAAUUAAAAUAGCUUAAUUGUAUGUGUCUGACACUAGAUAGCAAGAAUUAUUUCUUUUUCACAAUGCAGAUAUGGAUAUAUAAAAUUUUAAUGUGCUACAUCAGUGCUGUAGUUUGAAUUAAUAUCCAAAUGUCUAGCUAGAUUAAAGCAAUGUUUUAAUUGUAUCACAAAUAUUAAUUAACAUAAUUCUCAUAACCGCACUAUUGUUGCCCCAUGUUCUAGAUAAGGAAAUGGAGGAAUAGAUUGUUUAAAUAACUUAAAAAGAAAGUUAGUGAUAGAAAUACAGAAUACAAAGAACUGAGGGCAGAGUUGAUGUAUAAACCAUGAUUUUCCAAUUCCAGAGCUUGUAUUCUUUCCUCUAAAUCGCACCACUUCCUUAGAAUGGCAUUUUGGUUGGGGUUUACAUUUGGAUUUGGCAUCACGUGGUCCCCAAAGCUAUCCAUACUAUGGGCUUUACCUCAUUUUCCUCUUACCUGCCGACUUUCUCUGUGAUUCAUAAUCACUCAGUUUCUUGCUUAUUAUCUAAUUGCCAAUUUUCUUUUUACUUUCCAAUUCGACUUUUGUUUAUUAGAUUUUUGUAAACUUGGAUAACAUUGUCCUUCAAUUUAAAAUAAAAUCACCUUAAUUUUUCUUUUUUCGAAAAAAGUUUACCUUGAUAAAUUGAGCUGUGAAUACUUUUUUACUAUCACAAUGUAUGUAGUCAAAAAUAUGCUGCCCAACACACUUUAUAGGAUCCAGUCCUUAUAGGUAAAGGCUUUUCCAGAACUGAGUUAAUGGAAUGGAAGAAGCACCGUUGUUUUUUCAUAUUUCCCUGUGUAACUGCCAUACUUUAUAAUUAACUUCUGGAAAGCCUGCACAAUAAAGUUGCAAUAUAUAUUUCCUCCGAUUUUAUGUAUAUUAAGAUUAAAUAUUAUACAUUAUGUGUCAAGAUUGUUUUCUGUUGUGUCUUUUCAUUUUAUUUUAGAUUUAAUUUCCUCA